rnacentral:rRNA from 1 species
GUCGAACGCUGGCGGCGUGCCUAAUACAUGCAAGUCGAACGCAGUGGGGACGGGUGAGUAACACGUGGGUAACCUCCCAUCAGAGGGGAUAACACUUGGAAACAGGUGCUAAACCGAUACUGAUGGAUGCACCCGCGUUGCAUUAGCUAGUUGGUGAGGUAACGGCUUACCAAGGCCACGAUGCAUAGACGGCCGGAGAGGGUGAUCGGCCACACUGGGACUGAGACACGGCCCAGAAUCCUACGGGAGGCAGCAGUGGGGAAUCGUCUGCAAUGGACGAAAGUCUGACCGAGCAACGCCGCGUGAGUGAAGAAGGUUUUAGGAUCGUAAAACGCUGUUGGUAGAGAAGCGGUAUCUAACCAGAAAGCCACGGCUAACUACGUGCCAGCAGCCGCGGUAAUUC